rnacentral:rRNA from 1 species
GACGAACUGUCCAAACGUUGUUCGGAAUCACUGGGCUUAAAGGGCGCGUAGGCGGUCCGACAAGUCAGGGGUGAAAUCCUGCAGCUUAACUGUAGAAGUGCCUCUGAUACUGUCGGUCUUGAGGGAGGUAGGGGUGUGCGGAACUUCCAGUGGAGCGGUGAAAUGUGGUGAUAUUGGAAGGAACGCCGGUGGCGAAAGCGGCGCACUGGACCUCUUCUGACGCUGAGGCGCGAAAGCUAGGGGAGCAAACGGG